GAGAAAUUAGAGGGAGAGACCGAGUGAGGCAAGAGGGAGCGAGGAAGAAGAAAAAGUUAAUCAGAGACUAUUUUCUUUGCAUGCGACCGGCGAUCUUGAUCAAGGAAGGCAAGCUCAUAGGGAAGAUCUGAAGGCGGAGACUCCAAAGACGUUUUUAGUGGUUAUUAUAUAAAUAUUAUUUUGUUGCUUUAUAGUUAUAAUAUUUGGUAGCCAUGUAUGGCUAUAAUUUUGCAUAUAAAUAUAUUUAAUUAUGUAAAGAGAAUGUGGGCUGUAAAGAGGAAAGCAAUGGCUAUUGUAGCCAGCAGCAGGUGAGUAGUAGGUGAGUGCCAUCUGUUCUGAUGGUUGUAUAGUGGUAAAGUAGAGGUAAUAAUAGCUAAAUAUAUUUACUUAUCUUAUUAUGUAAGGGCAAGCGUAUGCAUAGUGCCGAGGGACAGAGAAGUUGCUCAAGUAGAAGAAUUUUUAUGUUGA